rnacentral:rRNA from 1 species
GACGAACGCUGGCGGCGUGCCUAAUACAUGCAAGUCGAACGAACUCUGGUAUUGAUUGGUGCUUGCAUCAUGAUUUACAUUUGAGCGAGUGGCGAACUGGUGAGUAACACGUGGGAAACCUGCCCAGAAGCGGGGGAUAACACCUGGAAACAGAUGCUAAUACCGCAUAACAACUUGGACCGCAUGGUCCGAGCUUGAAAGAUGGCUUCGGCUAUCACUUUUGGAUGGUCCCGCGGCGUAUUAGCUAGAUGGUGGGGUAACGGCUCACCAUGGCAAUGAUACGUAGCCGACCUGAGAGGGUAAUCGGCCACAUUGGGACUGAGACACGGCCCAAACUCCUACGGGAGGCAGCAGUAGGGAAUCUUCCACAAUGGACGAAAGUCUGAUGGAGCAACGCCGCGUGAGUGAAGAAGGGUUUCGGCUCGUAAAACUCUGUUGUUAAAGAAGAACAUAUCUGAGAGUAACUGUUCAGGUAUUGACGGUAUUUAACCAGAAAGCCACGGCUAACUACGUGCCAGCAGCCGCGGUAA